UGCCAGCCGCCGCGGUAAUACAGAGGGUGCAAGUGUUGUUCGGAAUUAUUGGGCGUAAAGAGCGUGUAGGCGGUUUGAUAAGUCAGAUGUGAAAGCCCAGGGCUCAACCUUGGAACUGCAUUUGAAACUGUCAGACUUGAGUACGGUAGAGGAGAGUGGAAUUCCCGGUGUAGAGGUGAAAUUCGUAGAGAUCGGGAGGAACACCAGUGGCGAAAGCGGCCACCUGGACGAUGAUUGACGCUGAGACGCGAAAGCGUGGGUAGCAAACAGGAUUAGAUA
rnacentral:rRNA from 1 species